UGGCUGAGUGGUAAAGCGCUUGGCUUCCGAACCGGUUGUCCCGGGUUCGAAUCCUGG
rnacentral:tRNA from 1 species